CCAGGCGACGCUUUCAACCCCCACCCACGCUGCAACGCACCACCAGACGGUGCCCUACAAGCCUUCCCUCCGGCGCUCACCUAGGAAACCACUCCCUCAUGCAACCCACCCCUGUCGCCGCAACCAGAUCCGAUGCAGGGCCGCCGCCGCCUCUGACCCAUAAGAAUUGAGAUUCUCUGUCGCUGGUUGCCGUCCGGCGCGGCGGCAUGCAACACGUCGACCUCCACGGAUCCAAGUGCGCCUGUCAGAUCCAACACUAGGAGCUACAGCACAUAGGGCCACGCCCCUACCCUGCGGUACCGACACAUCCAACCUCGGCCACCUCAACGGCCUCCUCAAGAGCGUCACCCACAACCACCCGAUUACCCAUAAGCGACGACGCCGCCGGCUCUCGGAUGACUUCCCCUGCUCCAGAUAAAGUGCCUCUUUAAAUUGUGGAGCGGCAUCGCUCUAAUCGUCUCCAACAUCAGGACCACUACCAUUCCUUAUUUAUGUCUACAUGAAGUGUUUGCCACAAUGGAUACCUUCAAGAUGGGAUGCGUACUUUUAUGAGGCUACAUGACCGCUAUCAUUCCUUAUUUAUGUCUACAUGAAGUUUUUGACUAGGCUACAUAGAAGGCAUUGGCAAAACCUCUAAUUGGUAUCGACAAUAAUAAUCUUUACCCUUUUGAGAUCAAGCAUAAGAGAUCUUCCGAUGUGAAUGGUUUCCUUUCUUUAUAUUUCUAGAGAAUUGUAAGCGAGUUUUUAGCAAUGUAGCUAACUAAAGCUAUGAAUUAUACCAAUGUGUCUGCUUCAUGAAGGUAGUCAUGAAAAAAAAGAGCCACAAGACUUUGCCAUCAUUAUUUCUAUAACUGGCAUUUUUUUGGGAAGCAACUUUUUUUAGAGUGCAAAGUGAAUUUCUAUUAUGCAAAUGUGCAAAGUAUGACACCCGUAAAAUAUGACGCAGAGAACUUUUCGUAUGUUCAAAUUUAUUCUCGACAUUGUAUUACUAUAAAUCCCGCAACAAUAUGACACAGGGAACUUUCAUAUGUUCUAAUUUAUU